UGGGGAAUAUUGGACAAUGGGCGAAAGCCUGAUCCAGCAAUGCCGCGUGUGUGAAGAAGGCCUGCGGGUUGUAAAGCACUUUCAGUGGGGAGGAAUAACUCCUGGUUAAUACCCAGGAGCGGUGACGUUACCCACAGAAGAAGCACCGGCUAACUCUGUGCCAGCAGCCGCGGUAAUACAGAGGGUGCAAGCGUUAAUCGGAAUUACUGGGCGUAAAGGGUGCGUAGGUGGUUAAAUAAGUUAGAUGUGAAAGUCCUGGGCUUAACCUGGGGAUUGCACCUAAUACUGUUUAGCUAGAGUACUGUAGAGGAAGGUGGAAUUUCCGGUGUAGCGGUGAAAUGCGUAGAUAUCGGAAGGAACAUCAGUGGCGAAGGCGACUUUCUGGACAGAUACUGACACU
rnacentral:rRNA from 1 species